GUGGGGAAUUUUGGACAAUGGGCGAAAGCCUGAUCCAGCCAUGCCGCGUGCAGGAUGAAGGCCUUCGGGUUGUAAACUGCUUUUGUACGGAACGAAAAGACUCUGGUUAAUACCUGGGGUCCAUGACGGUACCGUAAGAAUAAGCACCGGCUAACUACGUGCCAGCAGCCGCGGUAAUACGUAGGGUGCAAGCGUUAAUCGGAAUUACUGGGCGUAAAGCGUGCGCAGGCGGUUAUAUAAGACAGAUGUGAAAGCCCCGGGCUCAACCUGGGAACUGCAUUUGUGACUGUAUAGCUAGAGUACGGCAGAGGGGGAUGGAAUUCCGCGUGUAGCAGUGAAAUGCGUAGAUAUGCGGAGGAACACCGAUGGCGAAGGCAAUCCCCUGGGCCUGUACUGACGCUCAUGCACGAAAGCGUGGGGAGCAAACAGGAUUAGAAACCCGUGUAGUCC
rnacentral:rRNA from 1 species